CCUACGGGAGGCAGCAGUGGGGAAUAUUGGGCAAUGGAGGAAACUCUGACCCAGCGACGCCGCGUGCGGGAUGAAGGCCUUCGGGUUGUAAACCGCUUUCAGUAGGGAAGAAGCGAAAGUGACGGUACCUACAGAAGAAGCACCGGCUAACUAUGUGCCAGCAGCCGCGGUAAUACAUAGGGUGCAAGCGUUGUCCGGAAUUGUUGGGCGUAAAGAGCUCGUAGGUGGUUCGUCACGUCGGAUGUGAAAAUCUGGGGCUCAACCCCAGACCUGCAUUCGAUACGGGCGAUCUAGAGUGUGGUAGGGGAGACUGGAAUUCCUGGUGUAGCGGUGGAAUGCGCAGAUAUCAGGAGGAACACCAAUGGCGAAGGCAGGUCUCUGGGCCAUUACUGACACUGAGGAGCGAAAGCGUGGGGAGCGAACAGGAUUAGAUACCCUGGUAGUCCACGCCGUAAACGGUGGGCACUAGUUGUGGGAACCUUCCACGGUUUCUGCGACGCAGCUACGCAUAAGUCGCCCGCCGUCGGGAGGUACAANCGCGAAGAAUUAAACUAACAAAGAAAGUUAGACGGCGUGAGACGUGCCGACGGACGACGACGAGGGAGGUAGG
rnacentral:rRNA from 1 species